CCCUUAGAUGUUCUGGGCCGCACGCGCGCUACACUGAUGCAUUCAACAAGCCUAGCCUUGACCGAGAGGUCCGGGUAAUCUUUGAAACUGCAUCGUGAUGGGGCUAGAUUAUUGCAAUUAUUAAUCUUCAACGAGGAAUGCCUAGUAAGCGUGAUUCAUCAAAUCGCGUUGAUUACGUCCCUGCCCUUUGUACACACCGCCCGUCGCUCCUAACGAUUGAAUGUGUUGGUGAGGAGCUCGGAUUGGCAGCAGUUGGUGGUUCGCCACCGGCUAUUGCUGAGAAGUCCUCCAAACCGCCCCAUUUAGAGGAAGGAGAAGUCGUAACA
rnacentral:rRNA from 1 species